rnacentral:rRNA from 1 species
GUCUAUGGUUAAACCACCCUGAACACGCCCAAUCUCGUCUAAUCUCGGAAGCUAAGCAGGGUCGGGCCUGGUUAGUACUUGGAUGGGAGAAGUAUCUGGUACUGCCGGAC